GGACCCAUUUGAUUAAGAAGAACAGAAGCCUACUCCAGCUAGCUGAAGAAGAGAGGUUUUGAUAAGAACUUGAAGAGUGCUGAGGAAUCCAAGUAAACAAUUUUGUCAAAUUGAUUCCACCCCCACAGCCCCAGUGAACUUGAGGGCUAAUUUGUAAGGAAACAUUACAGAUACAGUUGAAGCCCAUUGUAUGUGCUUCACCUCUUUGUCCCUAGAGGUAACCAGUCUCCUGAAUUUGGUGUUUAUUAUUCCUAUGAAAGUUUCAAAUGAUUACAACAUAUGUAUGUAUGUAUGUACCUAUAAACAAUGCAAAGUAUUUUUUGUAUUUUUUUCAACUUCAUAUUAAUGGAAUUUUACUGUACUUGCACUGAAACUGUUUUGUUCAACAUUAUUUUCAGGGCUUUAUCUGUAUUAAUAUAUUUUGCUCUAUUUUGUUGAUAUUUAUUGCUUGAUCAGUUUAGUUUUCUUUAUAUUCCAUUGCAUUCUAAAAGAGAGCACUGCAUGGGUUAUUCUCAUGCCUGCUCCUUGAGCACAUGUGCUGAGUUCUGGAGAUACACCUUCAAGUGGAACUGUGGGUGCAAGGAGUGCCCCUCUUCAGCUCUACCAGCUGAUCUGAAGCACUCUCCAGAGUAGUUAUCAGUCAACUCUAAGUUUUGU